CUUUCAGCUACAUAGCAAAUAUGCUUCAUAUGAAUGUCAGAAUAACUCAUUACCUACUAAACACCUUAUAAAAUUAAUAACUCAUUCAUUACCUUCUAAACACACACAUAUAUAAAAACCACACUUGGGCAUUUAACCCAUUACCCCUACUAAACACCUUGCAAUAAUAUCUGCAAGUCGAUGUGGCUUUGCAUAAAAUAACUAAUUUAACUUAUGUCCGGUAAGAUAAGUUUUGUGUUCCCAUUCUUGCCUGAUGCUUAAGGUUUUCGAUCUCGUCCUCCCUUCUUCAGGCCUUGCUUGCUCAUUCCAUGCCUUCUUGCAUCUUUCUUCAUUCGUCGAUCAACAAGAACUUUCCCCCUGCCAACCUUCACCUGAACACCCUUCUUUGCCACUACGUAUUCCCUUUCUGCUCUUUUAGGUGUUGCCUUCCUGUAUAGCUGUUCAAUCAUUCUACUCUUUGAGCGAUCAGAUACAUCUGCUUGGUCUGAUAUCGAGUUAGCUUUCUUCCGAAUCUUUUCCAGCUUUCUCUGAGCAGCCCUUUUCUUUCGUGCUUUGGCUUCUGCUACCUUCUUUGCAGGACGGGCAUUGAUUUCUUUAAACUGAGCUCUCAUUGCAGCAAUCUCCUCUUUUGUCACCGGCAUUAUCAGCUGUCGAUGCCUCUUCUCCUCGUCAACAAACCACUUUGGCAACCCCUCGUCAACAAACAUAUACUUGUUGUAACCAUCAUCCAUCAUCGCCUCUCUCUGCUUUUUCAAAAUCAAUUUCUUUGCUACAGACAAUAUUUCAGCCUUUCGGUCGAUAUCAACACCUGAUUCAUCAGAUGACGAAUCACUUGAAUAUGUAGGUGGUACAGGAACAAUCUCAAAAUCAUUUGGUGUCUCAGAUGAUGGGACUUGGAGCGAACCAUCCAUUCUUUUCUUUGACAGAUUUGGAGCAAGCAAUUCGCCAGUUGUCUGUGACUUAGAUAUUAAGGUGACUUCAUCUACUACUAGCAUUUCAUCUUCGCUGUGAUACUUGUCCAACAUCUCUUGCUCUUCUGGCUCAACAAAAACAUCUUGAGUAAACCACGUUUUUACAACCUCCUCUUGAGAUGGAGCGGUUUCUAGAGGUAUGAUCAGAGGAUUCACUUGAUCCUCUCCCUUAUCACCGUCAGAGUCUUGAGCAGAAUGAGUCAUACCAUCUUCCUCACCACGCUCCAAGAGGUUACAAUCAUCCAAGUAGGAAAUUUUGGAUCGCUUUGUUUUUCUUUCCCCUCGAGCCAUAUAACUUUUGACGUGGUCCUCAAGCAACCCCUCUAUUUCAUCGUCACGUCUUAAGCGAUCUUCUUCGGAGUCCAUAUCGGUAGAUGCAUUCUCCGGGGCUUCCAGGUCAUUUCCGUCUGCUUCGCUAUUUACUUCAGCAGUUCCAUCAUCACAUUCAUUGUCAUCAACAAGUACUACAUCUCUCUUGCACUUGAUCAAUGUUAGAGAAAACAGCUCCGGAUCAGCAAAACCAUCUUCAGCAGCAUCGGACUGCAUCCGCAACACCUCACGUGCUUUGUCCUUGGCUUGUCUUUUAGCUAGAACCCUUUUUUCUCUUUUGGUCUUUCUCAAUUCAGUUUCCUUCAACUCUUCUAGUUCUUUUACAAGUCUUGUAUCUUCAUCCUCUUCUCUCUCACAUUCAAUUUCUACUUUUGGAUUACUAAUGGUCUCUGAAGGAGCCAAAGCUUUCCUCAUAAGCUUACGCCACUUCGAAAGAUGUUUGAGAUCUUGCUCCCCCAGAACGCGCAAGUCCUCACAUAGUGUUCUAACCUCUUCUGUCGUCAGAGGAUGCUCUCUCAUUGGCAAAGAAGCGGGAUCAUCAAACAUUAUCGAAGUAACUGAGCCAAGGCUCUCGAUAUCAGACCAAACAAAAUCGGCAGCAGAGCAGACCUUCCUUAAGACUGUCUCCCCAUCUUCAUACCCAUCCCGGUGUCUCUUCUGCUUCGUUGCUCUGAGAACAUCGACCACCUUGAGAGGUUCUUUACCACCUUGAAAGAGGUGCUUUAUAUCAAGAAGGCGAGGGUCAAUCUUAGCAGGGGCCUUAUAUUUGAAACCAAUAACAUAUAUCUCGGCAGAUUCUGAACGACUUGCUAAAGGUUUUUCCACUUCAACUUUCUCAAAAAGCUGUCUUAGACAGUAAAGAACCGCAGUAUAGUCUUGAGAUCUAAAAACCUUGGUAACAAAAGUGCCAUUAGGAAGCAAAAAUUGAGCAGCAAGCUUAACAGAAUCAAUGACGAGAGAAUUCUGCAUGGUAGCUUCCAUAGCCCAAGCACCACCCAUAUUAGGAGAGCCAUCAUGAAGGAUCAAAUCAAACCCACUACAACCUUUUUGAGCAAUUAUUCUUUUAAGGGUGGAUUUGCAUUUUGCAGUAGUAAUAUCUUCCUGUAGAGAAAUUGCACCGGCAACUGGUCUGAUUGGAUCAAUAUCAACGCCAAUAACAAGGCUGCCGACGGGUACUUUUUUGACAACGACUUGCAACCAACCUCCGGGAGCAGCACAAAGAUCGAGAACCGAUUGAGAUGAAGUAAGAAAGGAGAAUUUGGAAUUUAGUUGCAUCAGCUUGAAUGCAGCCCUUGAACGGUAUCUCGAUUCUUUUGCUAAGUGGUAAUACUUAUCUCGUCGAUCUCUCCCUUUCAAUUUCCCCAUGUCCUUGCCUUCUUCGACUUGCUGGUGGAG
rnacentral:misc_RNA from 1 species